UUCUUGGUCAAUUAGAGGAAGUAAAAGUCGUAACAAGGUUUCCGUAGGUGAACCUGCGGAAGGAUCAUUACAGAGUUCAUGCCCGAAAGGGUAGACCUCCCACCCUUGUGUAUUAUUACUUUGUUGCUUUGGCGAGCUGCCUUCGGGCCUUGUAUGCUCGCCAGAGAAUACCAAAACUCUUUUUAUUAAUGUCGUCUGAGUACUAUAUAAUAGUUAAAACUUUCAACAACGGAUCUCUUGGUUCUGGCAUCGAUGAAGAACGCAGCGAAAUGCGAUAAGUAAUGUGAAUUGCAGAAUUCAGUGAAUCAUCGAAUCUUUGAACGCACAUUGCGCCCCUUGGUAUUCCGGGGGGCAUGCCUGUUCGAGCGUCAUUUCAACCCUCAAGCUUAGCUUGGUAUUGAGUCUAUGUCAGUAAUGGCAGGCUCUAAAAUCAGUGGCGGCGCCGCUGGGUCCUGAACGUAGUAAUAUCUCUCGUUACAGGUUCUCGGUGUGCUUCUGCCAAAACCCAAAUUUUUCUAUGGUUGACCUCGGAUCAGGUAGGGAUACCCGCUGAACUUAAGCAUAUCAA
rnacentral:rRNA from 1 species